GGGAUCCAUUUAUAGAAGGUGUAAAUUAUUUAGACUUACACUAAAUCUCGUCCAUUAAAACAAGUUAAUCUAAUGGUUAAAACUAUUUGUGUUAAAAAAAUAAAUUAAAAGGUUUAAGUGAGUCACGUGACUUUUUUUUCAUAUGCCUUUUCAGUUUUUAAACCAUGUCCAUAGAUGCCAUUGAACUUUAUAAGCCGCAUAACCCGUGCCGAUGGCCACCGCCUUUCUUCCCAAUAAAUUUCCCGACCAAACUUUUUCGCACCAACGAUUCACUUUCUCCUUUCUCAUAGCUAAUCUCUCACUUUCAGAGGAAACUUGGUUUGUUCCAGCCUCUUGUGACUCCCUCUUUUUUGGUCAUAUGGAUUGUCUCCUUGAGAUAGGAGUUUAUUACUUCCUUUAUCUCCAGCCUGAUCCUCUGUCUAUUCUUAAGUUAGUCGACAACUAUCUAAGUGUUGAAUGACCCCUUCUACAAGCUCUACCUCCAGUCCUUAUUGACCACCAGUCAAAAUAAUUAAACUUCAUUUCUCUUGGCUCAACCUACUUGUCCUUUGAUGGGAGUUUUUGUUCAACCCGCAACAAUUUGUUGAUCCCCCAAAGGCUACAUUUUUCUUGCAUGUAGCCAUAUUGUUUAUGGAGAGAGGCCCUAAGCUAGGGGCCAAAUGGAAGACUAUCCAAAUUUUCCUUGGCACCUCCAUCUCUUUCUUUGCACUUUUUAAAAUUAUGAUCAAGGCUCCCACAACAGUAACAAAAAUUCCCCAAUAUCUCAUACUUAAAGAAGCUCUUUUUUGGCCCAUUCUCGCCACAUCCGAUCAUCAUUCCCCUCUUGAGUGGUUUGCAGAUAUCAAUCAAAACCCUUACCCCAAUGGUUGUUCCCAACCGACUCUCCUCUGAAGCAUCCCAAUCGAUAAUUUUUCCCAAAGCAUUGCCCACAAUAGACGUAGUGUCUUUUGUCCUUAGCCUCAUUGGUAGAUCAUAUAUUUGAACCCAAAAUUAAGCAUUUUUAAGAGUAAUCUCCUCUAAAGUUUUGUCCUUUGGGAGCUUGCUAAUGAUGAUGAGCUUCUUGUGAAAAUUCUAGGGGGCUCUGUUCAAAAUCAACUAUUUGUCUACUUCUUUGAAGAGUUGGAAGGUGUAUAGAUUCCUCCCCACAUCUCGUAUCUUUAUACCUCCGCGCACUUACCACACACCAGCCAUGGUUGUAUUGAAUGCUUUUGGAUUGAUUGAAUCACCCAUCAAUCACCUUCUAGAGAUCCGUAGAGAAAACUCACAUACAGGCUAAGGGAUAACAAAAAAUUGGGAGAAGAAAGGAAAAGAAUGGUGUCUUGAGGGAGGCCCUUACGAGCUGUUAGAGUGACACUAGAAAACUAUCAAACCCUAGGAGAGAAGAAAGGGGUGCACAAGAUUGUGUUGUUAUACUUAUACAAUGAAGGCUUUAAAUGAAAUAUCCAAUACCCUUUUUAAUGAUAUCUUUUAUUUGCCGACAAAAAAAAAACUUACAUUGUUAGAUUGAAUAAAC
rnacentral:lncRNA from 1 species